AAGGAAGGAAGGAAGGAGAUGUUUCAGUGGUUAAGAGCACUGACUGCUCUGCUCUUCUAGAGGUCCUGAGUUCAAUUCCCAGCAACCACAUGGUGGCUCACAACCAUCUAUAGUGGGAUCUGAUGCCCUCUUCUGGAUUACAGACACCAGCAAAUACAUCAGCACGGUGGCGCACACCUAUAAUACCCACGCUCAAAGGCAGAGGAAGGAAGAUUGCCAAGUUCCAGGCCUGUCCACAUAAUAUAGCAAGACCUUGUCUCAAAAGAAGGAGGAGGAAGAAGAGGAGGAAGAGAAAUAGGAAGAGAAGGAGAAAGAGGAGGACAGGCCCAGAUUAGCACCUCAUCCUCUGCAGUCCUCUUGCUUUUAGCCACGAGCCUGUAUGGAUGGGAGUGAAACAAGUCUCAUAUGGAUGCUGCUGUUUUCACAGGAAGCUGAGAAGCCUGACCUCACUGUCAUCUUCUUGUUGGUGUCCGGUGGGUAAACAGCAGAGGCUUCUAAAGAAGACAUUUUUUUUUCAGUGUGGCCUGAGGACCACCAGCAUCAAAAUCACUUGGGGGAGUGGGUUAAAAACGCAGCCUCUUGAAGAGCUUCCCAGCUCCACUUGAUUAAAGAUAGGGGCUCAAAUGUAAAAUAACCUACCUUUUUUUUUUUUUGGUUCUUUUUUUUCGGAGCUGGGGACCGAACCCAGGGCCUUGCGCUUCCUAGGUAAGCACUCUACCACUGAGCUAAAUCCCCAGCCCCUAAUAACCUACCUUUUAAUGGUCUAUUUUUCCCUCCAGCACUGGGUUAAACUAGGUCCAGCAGCAUGAUAGGCAAGUGUUUAACAUGGCCAUGCCUUAAGUUACCUGAGAGAUACUAGGGAUCACACGUAGGGCCUUAUCCAUUCUAGGUAAGCACUCUGCUACUGGAGUUAGAUCCCUAGCUCCCUCGUGACUCUUGUAUAUUGAGAUGUUUUCCUCAUUUUGUUAUUAUUGUUUUGUUGAUAUUGGAUCUCGUAUAGCCCAGGUUGGCCUCAAACUUGGCAUGUAGAUGAGGAUGACCCGGAACUUCUGAUUCUCAUGUCUCUACCUCCCGUGUUCUGGGAUUAGAGGCAUACUGUGUACUGUGCUGCUUUGUGCUAUGCUGGGGAUCAAGCCCAGGACUUCAAACUGGCCGUCAAGCACUGUCUCAGUCCACAGUCUCACAUCCACAGCCUCUGCACAGAUGCUUUAGCUCUGAAAAGCAAACCCUCCCCCUGAAAGUUACCCUGUGGCUCCCUGAUAACCUGACCAGAAGCCUGCCUAACAAGGCUUGGUUUCAGCAAUCUUGCGUCCUCUCAUUUUCUCCAGCAAAGCCAAGGUAGAGAAGGCUGAAGCAGGCUCUAGUGCUCUCUGAAAAUCUGUCUUGGCUCUGCCCCAAGUGUCUGUGUUUACUCUGCAGCCCAGGGUCCUUAUCCCUUGGCAGUGCUUCAUUGUAAGGUCAUUAGCUCUUAAUUAGUGCCAGCUUGUUGGCUUGCGCCUCACAGCUGAGCUGCCACAGAGACUCCUCACUCAUUCUCUUUGGGUCUCGCUCUCUGACGGCAGAAUCCCAGCUGCCGGGGUGAGUUGCAACCCGAGAAGAGAUGGGUGCCUCAGGUGUAGAAUCCCAGAAUUCAGAAGGCUGAAGCAGGAAGAUUGCUCUGAAUUCAUAGCCAGCCAGAAGAUAGGGACCUUACCUUCAAGCAAGCAAAGGAAUAAAGAGAGAACUGGAGAGAGUAAGUACUGAGUGUCUGCUCAGCGUGGGCUAAGCCCCAGGGUCCAUCCCCAAGCCCAGAAAACCCAACAAGGUGCUGGUUGCCUGCAAUCUCACAUUCAGGAGGCAGAGACAGGAGAGGCAAAAGUUCAAGGUCAUUCUUAGCUACAAGUCCAGCUGGAGGCCAGGCUGGCAAAUAUAAGAGCUGAAUCUAGAGUGACUGCCACCGGAUGUGAAACCGUACAAGUGCCAAAGCCGGAAGUGCUAAACAGAAAAGGAGUCCUCAUACGGCCUCACCCGGCUGCUGCAUGUAUGUAUCCUGUGCGUGCAAUGCCCAUGGAGAACAGAAGAGAGCAUCAGGCUCCCUGGUACUGUGGUUACAGAUGGUUGUGAACUGCCUGAUGUGGCUGCUGGGAGCCAAUCCUGUCUUCUGCAAGAGCGCCAAGUGCUCCUAACCGACUGCCAUCUCUCCAGCCCCACGCCUCCAUUUUCAAUUUAGAACGUCCAGGAGGAUUUUUAGAUAAGGAUGCCACGAGCCGGUGGAGAAACUUCUCUCUUGGCAUUGCUCAAAUGUCAGGGGUAAGAAGGUCUUCAAGAGACACCCAGAGGCCCCAUCCACUACCGCUGUCCUGCUGCCAAGGGUCAUGUCUGGGUCUGUGGCUCUACUGCAGCAGGGGUUUGCGUCGAUUCAGUGGUCAGUGCUACCAUCAAAGGUCAAGCAGAUAGUAGUGGUCUGGGCUGCCACCUGUGUCCUAGAGCAGCGUUGAGCGGGUCCCUAAUCCAGGCAACUAGGGAGGGCUAGAGCUAGCCCCUGGUGUCAUUGGGUGUACAGAGCUGGCAGGUUGAUCAACUCAGCCAAAACCCAGGCCCAGGUCUAAGGCUUUGAGCUGGCCCACCCCAUCUAAUCCCGCCUAUGAGUUGUUGGAGCAUUUGAAGGGAAUGGCCCUGCAGAACCAAAGCUGCAAGAUCUCCAUGACUCAGGGUGACUGCAGGAUACCCAAGAGGAAUUCCGGUGAGGUUCCGGUCUUGAUAGUGCAGCAGAAGCCAGGGGCCUCGAACCAGACCAAUGACUCAUUGAAAUGAACAUUUACAAGUAAAGAUGUUUGGGCGAAAGGGUUUACUGUGUGGCACACGGAAGCUUCUGUGGUGAGAUGGUUUGUUCUUAUUCUUUAAUUUUUCAUGUUGGGGGAGGAGGUUAUAAGAGUGGGGGAGGCAGAUAUGGAAGGACUGGGAAAUGAGUGGGAUUUGGGGGUACAUGAUGUGAAAUUCACAAAGAAUUAAUAAAAAAAAAAGUAGGAAACAAGUCUUCAAAAAGGUCCCUAUAUUAAGCUUUGGAAUAAUAACCAGAGAUCUUUUGCUCCUUCCUAUAGCUGGGUCCCCAUUGUUCCCAGCUGCUUACAAACAACCUGGGGAACACCCUUCUGAGAUACUGUUAAUACACUUUCAUCGUUGGCCUGGUUUAGGUAACUCCAAGACACUGGCUGCAUCCUCAGAAAUACAUCCAGGACGCUCACUGAUGUGGGAACUGGAAGUCUAAUUCCAAAUUAUAGAUAGCUGUUAAGCUCCAAGGAGGCUGAAAGCCCAUAUUAAGUCAUCUCUCCAGGGUCAGUGUGUUUCUUAUUAUAUUUGAUAUCUAUCUGUCCAGUGAUCCUUUUGAUUUUUUUAAGCCGUUAGACUGAAUCUCUGUGUAAUUCUCCCCCUCCUCUGCCUGCCUCCCCCCUUUUCCUUAGGAAAACACUUUUUUUUUCUUUUUUUUUUCCUUUUCUUUUUUUCGGAGCUGGGGACCGAACCCAGGGCCUUGCGCUUGCUAGGCAAGCGCUCUACCACUGAGCUAAAUCCCCAACCCCAGGAAAACACUUUUUAAAACAGUGCUCACCAGGUCCCCUGGCUUGUUUCCAGAAGAAUCCUGUCACACAGACAGACAAGUCUGAGGAAUCAACCUUUAAAACCAUUGUGCCCCUGAGGAAACCUAUCAGAUGGCCAGCCUUACCCUUAGGCAGCUUCUCGCCAAGAAGAUACUGAGGUUUUCUAUGACCUCUCUCCAUCCUUCUUGCUCUCAUGUCUGGUCUGGUCUAGAUUGGGGGCAAAACCUUAAAUGCAAAGCAGAAAUGGCCGUGAAUGUGUAGGAGAAAAGUUAAGGUGAACACCUUCUCAAGCAGACAAUGAAAAGGUGGCCCAGUCCUUAUUUGCACAAGAUUUCAUGUAUUUCCAUCAAUAUGUGUGGUGUGGGAUGGGGUGGGAUGCUUGCCUACAUAAGGGUGGGGCACCUGUGUACACCUGCGCACAAGCCUCCGAUUGACAUUAAGAGUCUUCCUUGAUUAUUUCCUGUCAGGUCUCAGGAACCCAGGGCAGAUGGCUAGUUGAGGUGCCCAUUAACACCUCGAAGUGCAUGCUGGCCAGCUCUCCCAGCAUUACUCAGUACCUAUGACUCCUCUCAACACUUAGCCUCCCUCUUCCAGGGGCUGCGUUUCCAUUUCCCUGCCUGGAGCCUGAUUCCUGUAUAACUCAGCAAUUUUGGCUACACCAGUCUCUGGCUUCUUGGCCUGGGUCUCCCUCCCCCUCCCUCCUCUCACGGUCUGGUUUGGUCUGCCAGCAUCUACAAUAAGAAUUUUCGGGGUUGGGGAUUUAGCUCAGUGGUAGAGGGCUUGCCUAGGAAGCGCAAGGCCCUGGGUUCGGUCCCCAGCUCUGAAAAAAAGAAAAGAAAAAAAAAAUAAGAAUUUUCUCCACACUUUAGGAAUAGGCAUGUCCUCCUCCCAUACAUUCUGUUUCCUGCAUUAUCUACCUUGCAUAUUAAGCCAGGGUCUCUCAGGGGAAUCCCAGAGCUUACCAAAAUGAUGCAGCUAGCCAGCUUGUUCAAGAGAUCUCAUCUCCACCUGCUGAGUGCUGGAAUUACUAAAGGCUACCAUGUCUGCCUGGCUUUUAAUUGGGUGCUGGGGGGUCUAAACUCUGCGGCCCUCGCUAUUGCAACAAAGGCUUGAUAUCUCUUGAGUCAUUUCCUUCCCCAGCCCUUGUGUAAAUUUUUUUGUAAAGAUUUAUUUAUUUUAUGUAUAUGAGAACACUGUCUUCAGCCACACCAGAAGAGGGCAUUGGAUCCCAUUAUAGAUGGUUGUGAGUCACCAUGUGGUUGCUGGGGAUUAAACUCAGGACCUCUGGAAGAGCAGUCAGUGCUCUUAACCGCUGAGCCAUCUCUCCAGCCCUGUAAAUUUGUUUUGUUUUGUUUUGUUUUAAAGACAGGGUUACACUGUGUAGCUCUGGCUGUUUUAGAACUCCUAUGUAGAACAGGAUGGCCUUGAACUCAUGGAGAUCCAGCUGCAUCUGCCUCCCAAGCGUUGGAUUUAAAGGCUGCUCUAUCACACCCAGCCUUUGUAUAACCUUUAAGAAUCCUGAUUAAAAUAUGAUCAGUCCUUCAUCUUUGGAAAAAAAACUCUCCUCCUAACACAUCCUACAAAUGAGAAUAGAGGAACUUUCUAGUUACUUUUAAUAAAUGUGAAGGGUUGAGAGUUGUCUGUGACCCUAGGGUGCCUCUCCACUCUGUCCAGGACCUGGUAGUUGGAUUUCUACCAAGAUUCUCCCCUCCCACAUCAUCAGUGUUCAUUAAAAAAAAGAAGAAGAACCAAAUCAUUUAGCUUAUUCCCCAGCACAGGGGUAGGCAGACUUACAACCCACUGGCCAAAUCCCACCCACUGCCUAUUUUUAUAUGGCCCUAAAGCUAAGAAUGGAUUUUAGUUUCUUAAAUGGUUGAAAAAGUCAAAAUAAAAAUAACGUUUUAUGACGCAUGAAAGUGAUAUGAAAUUCAAAUUUCAGGGUUCAUAAAUAAGGUUUUACUGGAACACAGCCACGCCAUUUGUUUACAUAUGGCCUUUGGCUGCUUUGGCACUACAAGGAAGAGAUGAAUUGCGGCAACAGACAACAUAUGGUCCACAGAACCUAAAAAUAUUUUUACUCCCUGGCCCUUUACAGGAUGCCUUGCCCACAUCCCCAUCCAAGGACACUGGUGUGCAUUCUCCGAGUUGACUAGGCGUGCCACGGACAGAUGAUGCAGACGCUAUUGUUCUUUGAGAGUGGUCCCCAUUCCAAGAUGGAAUACCUCCUGAGCCCCCAUCCCCCCCAUCCCCAACCCCCCAUCCCCUCUCCAUUCCCGCAGGCUCUGGAAAUUCAAACCAGGCCCCCCCUGUACAUCUGAGUGUAGCUGAUGCUUUCGUGGGCCAGCAGAGGGCUCUUUGAAGAGGUUUACAUUUCAUAGGGAGAGGCAGAGAGGCUGUCUAGAGGCCAAAUAGGGUCUAUUUGAGCCUAUUUGAUGUAUGGGAGCUCUCCCCAUUCCCCAACAAGUCCCGGGAUUUUUCCCCCUUCUGAUCUCAGAAAAGAAGAAGAGGACUUCAAGAAGCAACUCAGGGGUUGGGGAUUUAGCUCAGUGGUAGAGCGCUUGCCUAGGAAGCACAAGGCCCUGGGUUUGGUCCCCAGUUCCGAAAAAAAGAACCAAAAAAAAAAAAAAAAAAAGCAACUCAGAAAGUCUGUUUACCUGGAUUCUCCAUGACUUACUUUGGUGACCUUAGUCAGAGCAUGGGAGGAAAGAAUUUUUUUUGUUUUUGUUUUUUCCAUCCUGGUCCUGGCACACUGGGGUCUUCAGGCCAUGACAGCCACUGGGAGAGAAACUGCCAGCUACAGCUGUGGUGAGCCCCUCCUGAGCAGUCAUGAGCCAUGGAUCCAGAUGGACUUGGUGGAGAGGUGGAGGCUGAUAGAAGGCUCUGUGAACUGCAGGCAUUGUUUAUGAGGACAUGUGAUCCAACCUAUGAAAGCCUCUUCCUGCAAGUGAGGAAGACUCUGAACAAGUAGGAGACCGACAUGCAAAGGGGAGACAGGCUUUGCAAAUGAGUCACAUUAUCUCCAGCCAAGCAAUAGCAGAGCCAAGCUAAGCCCCAUCCUAACUUCCCUACUUAUUACUGUGUUCUUUGGUUACCUCAUUUCUACCCCCUGGCCCCGUGCCUCAGUUUCCUCAUCUAUAAAACAGGCAUGACAAUGGUGGUCUAGCUCACAAGGCUGAGCUGAGGGUCAAGGGAAGCAUUGCAAGGCCAAGGUUGAACAGGUGUGGGCAUCGUAUAACUGUUAGCUGUACUUAAGUUUCCAGUUGCAUCAACAUCCUUAGGAGACCUGGGCAGGGAAGACAAGCAGUGAACACCUCAAGCACUUCUUCCUUUUCUUUCUUUCUUUUUCUCUCUUUCUUUUUUCCUUCCUUUCUUCCUUUUUUCCUUCUCUCCUUCAUGACUAACAAUACUUUUAUUUUCUAACAAUUUUUCUACUGCUUCAGUACUUUCCUCUCAGACAAGACAAAUUUUAGAACGGGACUUUGUGGCCCUUUCUCUUCUUGUUUCUUCCCAACUUAAAAUGCUCACAUUUCCUAAGGGCCAGCGACCUCUCAGCUCUGCAGUCAGCCUGAGCAUCCUCAUCUCUGUGGUUUUGGCCUUCUGUUAGAAAACUGGUCCUGUUUGACCACGAUAGCCACGCUGCAUCUGAUGUCCUUCUUACGACCAGGUCACACUCUGAGGCUGACGCCUGCCCCAUUUCUGACAUAAAGUCCUUUGGGUUUUAGGUACAUUGACCAUCUUUAUGGUGGAGGUGUACACAUCCAUGAAAAAUGAGAUCGGGUGUCCGAGAUUGCUACCUCAAGCUGAUCCCACCGAACGGAAGGGGCUCAAGCACUGAUAUCAGGAGGGGACGUUCAACUAGAAAGUGUGACCACAGAUAAGUUGAAAAUGGAUGGACAAUCCACAGCAAUGCAGAGGAGGCUACUGCUGAGGGAAGGGAAAAAACUGUACUGGGCACCAGUGAAUAAUGAGAAGAGAAGAUGGGGCAGGAGAUGAGAGCAGCAGGCCAUACCCCUGGAGAGUUGGGGUGUAGUACUCCGGCCUUGUCAGAACUAGUACUGGCCAAACACAGGGGGAUGGAAAGUCAGGUUGCUUUGGGCCCAGUAUUCCAAUGAUCUUUAGUACUCAGCCCACCUUUCUCCCCCGCUUUACUCCUAGAAGGAAAGAGGAGUCAGAAGCACCAACAAUUAUCAUCUCCAGUGACAGGGAAGCAUGCUGGCAGGAGGCCCACCCGGCUCCUUGAAGAAGACAGCCAGGGUAGGGCCAAGACUGGAAGCCAGAGGCGAUGGAACCGCCAAAUGCUUCCCGUUUUAUGGACAGGCCUGGCUCAACCUGAAGACAUUCCAAACACCCAGUCAACAGUCAUGGUCUAUAUGAGAUUGGAGAGGGAGCCACUAGAAACCAAUCCUUUGAGAACAGGAAACUCAGCUGGAGGAAGAAGCUGGCCUUGUUCAUGGACCAGAUUCAACGGAUGAGGAAAAGGAACCUCAUCAUCAAUAAUCAAUAAUCAAAGGCUGGCAGCUUGCUGGGAGCUGGCCCCUGCCCUCUUCCCCACACAGGAGUGGGUCCAGCCAGGAACCCAUCUCACCCACCUCUCUGCACCAAGCCCCAGGGAGGGCAGGCGAGGGAGGAACCAUUUUUCACAUACUUUCUCUUUCAGAACGCAGCCCUUGUUUCGCAAUUUCCUACUUAAGUUCUGGAAGGCUGUAGGGCAUGUAUCCAAGCUACCUUCUCCAGCUGUGGGCCAGAGUCCCCCUAUGGUCAAGCACCAACCUGGUAGGCAAUGCCUGCUGGACGUAGGUAGGAGCUCACGAUGCUAAUUCUCCUGCAUCCCACCAAUGAAAACUCAUUCCAGACAGAGCAGGUUACCAACUCCACAAUGAGGGGCUCUACCACACCCCUGGCAGGUGUCUAUUCUUCCCGCUGUUAGUUCUUUCUCUGGAAGAGCCGGGAGGUAGGCCACAGCAAAGCAGGUGCAUCUCAGCAUCCCCCAAAGGCGAUCAGUCUUCAGAUCACCUCCUCCUGGGCUGGAGAGAUGGCUCAGCGGUUAAGAGCACUGACUGCUCUUCUAGAGGUCCUGAGUUCAAUUCCCAGCAACCACAUGGGGGCUCAAAACCAUCUGUAAAGGGAUCUGAUGCCCUCUUCUGGUGUGUCUGACAGCUACAGUGUACUGAUGCAUAAAAUAAAUGAAUAAAUCUGUAAAAAAAAAGUUAAAAAAAGAAAUAAACAGAUCACCUCCUCCUUAGAAUAAGGCUUUUGUUCUUGUCACUUCCACCUACAACAGAUCAAGCCCCUGCCAUUUCCAAUGAAUCCAUUUAGUCUUGCCAGACAGAACCUGUUGUAGAAGCCUGUUUCCCCAUUCCUUACUACCAUGGAGGUUUCCACUGCGCGUGAGACCCAUAGCUGGAGGGUUCUGAGGCAAAAAGCCAACACCUGGGGGCCUGGCCCUUGGUUAGGGAUGUGGAGCAGGGCCUUAGUGCUGGCCCUAGCUCUGAAUUCUCUCCCAGUCCUCUUAAACCAAACCAAACAAGCCAGAUGAGAGGGGGAAAUCCCCACUUGAAAAAUCCAGAAAAUGCGUAACCUCAUCACCCCAAACAAUGGGGCGGGAAAUAUACCAGAGCUGGAGGUGGGAAAGACGGCCAGAAAUGUAAGUGCGUGACCCCAUAGAGGAGAGCUAACAUUUUCCAAGCUAUGCAGGCAAAUAAAGACAUAGAAUGUUUUCGCCAUUUAACCCUGGAGCAGAGAGAAGCAUCUCGACAUGGAUAUAUGGCCUCCCCCAGCACUUGCUCACCCUCCAAAGCACCAGGUACCUCCUCAGGACCACCCGUGGUUGUAGGCCUCUCUAGGAUUCCAGCCUCAAGUAGGCGUUUUAGCACUGUGAGCCAUUAACCGCUCCUCACUUUUAAACCCACAUCAUCACCCAGCUCAGAAACAGACAAGAAUAAGCCCCAGGGCUCAUUGUAUUCACAAUGUGUGAGGGUGGCAUUUGGACGUUCACAGAGAAUGAGAACAGCUCCUGAGUGGUCAUCCUGCAGAUGUGGAAGCAUCUAAAUACUCAGGACUUCCUGGGGUCACGGACACCCUCCCUGAGUUGCUCAGAUCCCAGGGGUGGCUUCUAGAAGUGAAGGAGUAAGGAGAAGCUGAACCCAGAACAUCAACAGGGUGAUCCCGGUGCUCGGGAGAUCCUGGCGCUCUUAUUCUGGGUCUUGCUUGGGUGUGGUUUUAAAAGAGAGCUUAUGUCAGUAUGGUAUAUGUGCCUGAAUUCCCCAGGGUCAUCUUGUUAUAAGGCGGAUUUGAAUUCUUUA